GAUGAAGAACGUAGCGAAAUGCGAUAAGUAAUGCGAAUUGCAGAAUUCGGUGAAUCAUCGAAUCUUUGAACGCACAUUGCGCCCGCCAGUAUUCUGGCGGGCAUGCCUGUCUGAGCGUCGUUUCGACCCUCGCGCCCGGCUUCUGUCGGGGGCGGUGUUGGGGAUCGGCCACACCCUUCAGUGGGAGGCCGGCCCCUAAAUUCAGUGGCGACCACGCUGUAGCCUCCCCUGCGUAGUACUAAAACCACCUCGCAGGCGGAGAGCGGUGCGGCCCGCCGUAAAACCCCCCAACUUUUACAAGGUCGACCUCAGAUCAGGUAGGAAUACCCGCUGAACUUAAGCAUAUCAAUAAGCGGAGGA
rnacentral:misc_RNA from 1 species